rnacentral:rRNA from 1 species
GGGAACUGAAACAUCUAAGUACCCCGAGGAAAAGAAAUCAACCGAGAUUCCCCCAGUAGCGGCGAGCGAACGGGGAGCAGCCCAGAGUCAGAAUCAGCUUGUGUGUUAGUGGAACGGUCUGGAAAGUCCGACGGUACAGGGUGAUAGUCCCGUACACCAAAAUGCACAGGUUGUGAACUCGAAGAGUAGGGCGGGACACGUGGUAUCCUGUCUGAAUAUGGGGGGACCAUCCUCCAAGGCUAAAUACUCCUGACUGACCGAUAGUGAACCAGUACCGUGAGGG